UUUUGGACGAUGGGCGAAAGCCUGAUCCAGCAAUGCCGCGUGAGUGAUGAAGGCCUUAGGGUUGUAAAGCUCUUUUACCCGGGAUGAUAAUGACAGUACCGGGAGAAUAAGCUCCGGCUAACUCCGUGCCAGCAGCCGCGGUAAUACGGAGGGAGCUAGCGUUGUUCGGAAUUACUGGGCGUAAAGCGCACGUAGGCGGCUUUGUAAGUUAGAGGUGAAAGCCUGGAGCUCAACUCCAGAAUUGCCUUUGAUACUGCAUCGCUUGAAUCCAGGAGAGGUGAGUGGAAUUCCGAGUGUAGAGGUGAAAUUCGUAGAUAUUCGGAAGAACACCAGUGGCGAAGGCGGCUCACUGGACUGGUAUUGACGCUGAGGUGCGAAA
rnacentral:rRNA from 1 species